GACGAACGCUGGCGGCGUGCUUAACACAUGCAAGUCGAACGGAAAGGCCCUGCUUUUGUGGGGUGCUCGAGUGGCGAACGGGUGAGUAACACGUGAGUAACCUGCCCUUGACUUUGGGAUAACUUCAGGAAACUGGGGCUAAUACCGGAUAGGAGCUCCUGCUGCAUGGUGGGGGUUGGAAAGUUUCGGCGGUUGGGGAUGGACUCGGGGCUUAUCAGCUUGUUGGGGGGGUAGUGGCUUACCAAGGCUUUGACGGGUAGCCGGCCUGAGAGGGUGACCGGCCACAUUGGGGCUGAGAUACGGCCCAGACUCCUACGGGAGGCAGCAGUGGGGAAUAUUGCACAAUGGGCGGAAGCCUGAUGCAGCAACGCCGCGUGCGGGAUGACGGCCUUCGGGUUGUAAACCGCUUUCGCCUGUGACGAAGCGUGAGUGACGGUAAUGGGUAAAGAAGCACCGGCUAACUACGUG
rnacentral:rRNA from 1 species